AUGGCGCUCAGCCUCCGCAAGAAGCAGCUCGAUUUGAUCACGCGGAUGCUCCACCUGAACCAGCAGCAGCCGUCGCCGGACGGCGGCGGCGGGGAGGGGGACGAGGAGGCCUACAAGAUCCUGGUGAUGGACGGGCCCUGCAUCUCGCUCCUCUCGCCGGUGCUCCGCGUCGGCGACCUCCGCAAGCACGGCGUCACCCUCCACCUCAACAUCGACAAGGCGCGCCAGCAGGUCGCCGACGCGCCCGCGGUCUACCUCGUCCGCCCCACGCCCGCCAACGCCGACCGCAUCGCCGCCGACGCCGCCGCGGGGCUCUACGCCUCCUUCCACGUCAACUUCUCCACCUCCGUCCCGAGGCCCGUCCUCGACCGCCUCGCCGCCGCCACCGCCGCGUCCCGCUCCGCGCACCGCGUGGCCCGCGUCGCCGACCAGUACCUCGACUUCGUCUGCCUCGAGGACGGCCUCUUCUCGCUCGCCCAGCCGCGCGCCUACGUCGCCCUCAACGACCCGGCCGCCGCCGAUUCCGACAUCACCUCGCUCGUCGAGGCCGUCGCGCUCGGCCUCUUCUGCGUCGUCGCCACGCUCGGCGCCGUGCCCAUCAUCAGGUGCGCCCGCGGCGGGCCGGCCGAGAUGGUGGCCGCCGCGCUGGACGCCCGCCUUCGGGAUCACCUCCUAGCCAAGCCAAACCUGUUCACGGAGGCUGCAUCCAGUGCCGCCUCAUCGUUCCAGCGCCCGGUCCUCUGCCUGUUUGACAGGAAUUUCGAGCUGUCGGUGGGGAUACAGCACGAUUGGAGCUACCGCCCGUUGGUCCAUGACGUGCUGAGCUUCAAGCUGAACAAGCUGAAGCUGCCGACAGAGAAGUAUGAUCUGGAUGACUCGGACCCAUUUUGGGUGGCAAACAGCUGGUCGCCAUUUCCCAAGGUGGCUGAGGAGAUAGAAGCCCAGCUCGCCAAGUACAAGCAGGAUGUGGACGAGGUGAACCAGCGCACGGGUGGUGGUCGGGAUGGGGUUGAGUUUGAUGGAACAGAUCUUAUUGGCAACACCAAGCACCUCAUGAAUGCGGUGAACUCACUCCCGGAGCUGACCGAACGGAAGAAGAUGAUCGAUAAACACACGAACAUUGCAACCGCGCUGCUUGGGCACAUCAAGGAGAGGUCUCUGGAUGGAUACUAUGAGUGCGAGAAUGAUAUGCUCGUGAAUGGUACUGUGGAUCGGAACAUGCUGCUGAGUCUGCUCAGAGGGAAGGGCACCAAGGAGGAUAAGCUCCGGCUGGCCGUCACCUACCUGCUAUCCUUUGAGGCACCACCAGCAUCUGAACUUGAGCAGGUUGAGGCUGCGCUGCGGGAGUCAGAAGUAGAUAUGUCUGCAUUCCAGUAUGUGAAGAGGAUAAAGUCGUUGAACACACAGUUUGCCGCUGCAUCAAGCACGGCAAGCAGGAGCAACAUUGUUGAUUGGGCAGAGAAGCUUUACGGACAGUCCAUUAGUGCCGUGACAGCAGGCGUGAAGAAUCUCUUGUCGGAUGGGAGGCAGCUGGCUCUGACUAGGACUGUUGAAGCCCUCAUGGAAGGGAAACCAAACCCAGAGGUGGACAACUACCUAUUGUUCGAUCCACGGGCCCCUAGGUCAGGAACUGGUGGGCAGUUUAGAGGACCCUUCAGAGAAGCCAUUGUUUUCAUGAUUGGUGGUGGAAAUUACAUCGAGUAUAGGAGCUUAGUUGAGCUAGGGCAACGCUCACAGCCUUCAAAGCAUGUCAUAUAUGGAGCAACAGAGAUUCUCAAUGGGGUGGAGUUUAUUCAGCAGCUCGCAGAACUGGGACAGAAAGCGGGAUUAGGUGGUGGCAGCAGCAACCUACCACCACAGUAA
rnacentral:rRNA from 1 species